GGUUGUGGCUCAGUGGUAGAACGCUUGCCUAGCAUGCAUGAGGCACUGGGUUCAAUCCCCGGAACCA
rnacentral:tRNA from 1 species